rnacentral:tRNA from 1 species
AGAACAAUGGUGAAUGUGGAGGAGCCACCUGCUUCUGUGGUGAGCAGGUCGGCGCCAUCAGUGGUGCCGGUUUGGAUGAUCGUGACACCGUUGGUGUC